AAUCACUUGUUUGCGAUGAGGAUUUAACUAUUUGCGGCAACACUAAAUCGUGUCAAAAAGAUCACAAUCACCGACGGCAAGUAGCGAAAAGCGUAAUCCCUAUAGUUUAAAGGCCCCUCUGACCCACCCCCGGGCGUCUCUCUCUCUCCCCUUGUAUCGCUGCAACCCCUAGCCGUCGCCGAUAGCAGCCUUCGUCACAUAGUUUUAACUUUAGCCUCUUCAUCGUUUCGUUUUCAGACGACAAAGCUCAAAAUUCAUCUCCCCUUGGUUCCCUCCCUCUCUGCUCCUCUCUCGAGUCUGAAAAAUAGCAAAGGAAGAUCCGUGUAAACUGCACUGCACUGCGCUCCUCUCCUCUCCUCUCCUUCGAUGGAUCUUCACACCACUACGGUACCCUCUAUUAUUUCCUUCCCCUAAACCUUUCUUACAAACCCAUCUUGUCUUCUCUUUCAUCUCUUCCUCGUCUCUCUCUCACCUGAUUCUACCAUUCCUAAUUCUCAGACCAAUCUGAUCUAUUUGCAUCUGACCUCAUCACCAGUUUCUAAAAGGUCAAUCUUUUUCUUUCCCAAAUUUUUUUGCUUUUUUUAAUGAAAAAGAAAGUUAUUUUUAGAGGGUGGGUGAAUUUGCUUUGGAUCCAGUGAUAAAUCCCGAGCUUCGUUGUUGGAAAACUGGCUUCGAGAAUGAUGUGAAAGCUCAGGAAUGGUUCCUCCCUCGAAUGCUCUCCGGAUUUGUAAUCUGAGAAUGUUUUCUUGUUGGGAAAAAGUUAGAAGUUAUAAUUUAUGGUAUAAAGUAAGGGAAAAAAAGUCGAAGAGAGAGCGAGAUCGCAAACAAGGCAACCGCAAAAGAUCAGAAAUUCAAAACCCCCGCAGAAGUUUAAUCCGCAAGUAAGGAUCGAAUUCUGAAAUCUUUUUACAAUUAUCUAUGUAUAGAUUGCUAUAACUAGGACCAUCAGUGAUUAUUGUCGUUAAUAGUAUCGUUCUUCCAAGAACUAGUCAUAAUUUUUGGCGGUUUGAUUGCUGCUGAGUAAAUUGUAAUUAUUGGGGUGGUGAAUUUAUGGGGCAAUGGCGACUCUGGUUUGAUAGAGGUGGAGACAAAAUUGUAAAUUUGCUAUUAAAUCUUUUAGAAGAUAAGUCGGCAGCCACCAUUUUCUGCUUAUGCUCAUCCAAUGGCAUGUUUUCUUACGUACAAAAAUAGCCACUUUCUUUGACUUGUUGCUGCUGCCGACUUACAAGCUAUGGCCAAUUCACUUCCUUCUUAAGUCUUGGUGCUGCAAGUGAUAAAAGGAAGCCCAUUGGAUGGUCAACCAUUCAAACAGCAUCAAUUAACCGCCUCUCAAUAUGCCUAGUUUAUUGCGUGGCGUGUGAGUUCUAUAUUAGUGUGCUGAAAAUAGAGUGCCAAGUGAGGAUAUUUAAGAUAGAGUUUGUUAUUCUGUGUGAGGGAGAGAGUUUGUUACAUCUGGGUAACUCCUGUGUAACUCAUCUUUGUAAUCCUCUGUUUUUACUUUUAUAGAAAGCCGCGAUAUUUUUUUCUGUAGUGAAAUCUUUGUCCAAUUUUUGCCAUCUUUUGAAAUAUCCUGGGCAUCAAUAAUCCCCAACAUGGUUGAGCCUCCGAAUGGAGUUAGGCAACAAUGGAAGCAUUACUACUCAAUGUGGCAAAUGUUGUUUGAGAUCGACACCAAGUACGCGCCGAUCAAACCCAUAGGUAGAGGGGCAUAUGGUGCUCCUCCAUCAACAAUGAGAAAGUUGCCAUCAGGAAGAUCAACAAUGUCUUUGAGAACCGCAUUGAUGCGCUUAGAAUGCUGGGGGAGUUGAAGCUUCUUUGACAUAUUCGACACGAGAAUGUCAUUGCUUUGAAGGAUGUUAUGAUGCCUAUUCAUCGGACAAGUUUCAAGGACAUGUAUUUGGUUUACAAACUUAUGGAUACUGAUCUUCAUCAGAUUAUUAAGUCCUCACAGCCGCUUUCUGGCGAUCAUUGCAAAUAUUUCUUGUUUCAGCCAAAACCAAGCUGAUAUUGAAUUCAUUAACAAUCCCAAGGCCUGGAAGUUCAUCAAAUCAUUGCCCUUUUCAAGUGGGAUGCAAUUUUCACUGAGACACUCCAACACUCUCGCAUGUCAGAGCUGUAUGAUCCAAGAAACAAUCCUCUUGCCCAGGUCCCAAUUAAUCUUGACAUAGAUGAAACUUUUGGAGAACAGAUGAUUAGGGAGAUGAUGUUGAAUGAGAGCGGCUGAGAUUGAGAAGAGAGAGAUGGUGCAAUCCAGUAGAUGUUUAUUUAGAAUGUAAUGUAAAUGCAAUGUAAAUAUUGGAUUUCAUGUUUGUUAAGCAUUGUAGAAUGCAAUUAUAUUAGCACUUUGUUGGUCU